rnacentral:rRNA from 1 species
AGAGUUUGAUCCUGGCUCAGGACGAACGCUGGCGGCGUGCCUAACACCUCGCAAGUCGAACGGGAACUGCCUAAAGCUUGCUUUGGACAGAUUCUAGUGGCGGACGGGUGAGUAACGCGUGAGGAACCUGCCUUUCAGAGGGGGAUAACGUCUGGAAACGGACGCUAAUACCGCAUGACAUUUUAGAGUCACAUGGCUUUAGAAUCAAAGGAGCAAUCCGCUGGAAGAUGGACUCGCGUCCGAUUAGCCAGUUGGCGAGGUAAUGGCCCACCAAAGCGACGAUCGGUAGCCGGACUGAGAGGUUGAACGGCCACAUUGGGACUGAGACACGGCCCAGACUCCUACGGGAGGCAGCAGUGGGGGAUAUUGCACAAUGGAGGAAACUCUGAUGCAGCAACGCCGCGUGAGGGAAGACGGUCUUCGGAUUGUAAACCUUUGUCCUUGGUGAAGAUAAUGACGGUAGCCGAGGAGGAAGCUCCGGCUAACUACGUGCUAGCAGCCGCGGUAAUACGUAGGGAGCAAGCGUUGUCCGGAUUUACUGGGUGUAAAGGGUGCGUAGGCGGCUUUGCAAGUCAGGUGUGAAAACCAUCGGCUCAACUGAUGGACUGCAUUUGAAACUGUGGGGCUUGAGUGAAGUAGAGGCAGGCGGAAUUCCCGGUGUAGCGGUGGAAUGCGUAGAGAUCGGGAGGAACACCAGUGGCGAAGGCGACUUUCUGGUCUGUAACUGACGCUGAGGCGCGAAAGCGUGGGG